AUACGGAGGGAGCGAGCGUUAAUCGGAAUUACUGGGCGUAAAGCGCGCGUAGGCGGCUUUGUAAGUCGGAUGUGAAAGCCCAGGGCUCAACCCUGGAAUUGCAUUCGAUACUGCAUGGCUAGAGUAUGGUAGAGGGAAGUGGAAUUUCCGGUGUAGCGGUGAAAUGCGUAGAUAUCGGAAGGAACACCAGUGGCGAAGGCGACUUCCUGGGCCAAUACUGACGCUGAGGUGCGAAAGCGUGGGGAGCAAACAGGAUUAGAUACCCCAGUAGUCC
rnacentral:rRNA from 1 species